rnacentral:rRNA from 1 species
AUUGAACGCUGGCGGCAGGCCUAACACAUGCAAGUCGAACGAGUGGCGGACGGGUGAGUAAUGUAUGGGGAUCUGCCCGAUGGAGGGGGAUAACUACUGGAAACGGUGGCUAAUACCGCAUACCAUCGGAUGUACCCAUAUGGGAUUAGCUAGUUGGUGGGGUAAAGGCUCACCUAGGCGACGAUCUCUAGCUGGUCUGAGAGGAUGAUCAGCCACACUGGAACUGAGACACGGCCCAGACUCCUACGGGAGGCAGCAGUGGGGAAUAUUGCACAAUGGGCGCAAGCCUGAUGCAGCCAUGCCGCGUGUAUGAAGAAGGCCUUAGGGUUGUAAAGUACUUUCAGCGGGGAGGCGUUACCCGCAGAAGAAGCACCGGCUAACUCCGUGCCAGCCGCCGCGGUAAUUC